rnacentral:lncRNA from 1 species
ACUUACUUGGCUUGCAGUGUCGUCAGAAUUUGCUGUCAAACACAAGUUUGCUUCUUCAACAGAAUCACUUGAACUACAAGUGCUUGAUGCAGUAUCCUCCCAAGUAAUGUAGACCUUCUUCUUUUUGUGAGAUUUCUUUGCUUUUCUUUCUUUUCUUCUUUUGUUGCUUGAACAAUCAGCUUUUACAUGGCCUCUUUCACCACAUCCAUAACAUUUGAAGCUUGAUGCGGAGCCUUAAUUGUUCUC